rnacentral:rRNA from 1 species
AAUAUUGCACAAUGGGCGCAAGCCUGAUGCAGCCAUGCCGCGUGUAUGAAGAAGGCCUUCGGGUUGUAAAGUACUUUCAGCAGUGAGGAAGGUGGAUAUGUUAAUAGCAUAUUCAUUUGACGUUAGCUGCAGAAGAAGCACCGGCUAACUCCGUGCCAGCAGCCGCGGUAAUACGGAGGGUGCGAGCGUUAAUCGGAAUUACUGGGCGUAAAGCGCAUGCAGGUGGUUUGUUAAGUCAGAUGUGAAAGCCCCGGGGCUCAACCUCGGAAUUGCAUUUGAAACUGGCAGACUAGAGUACUGUAGAGGGGGUAGAAUUUCAGGUGUAGCGGUGAAAUGCGUAGAGAUCUGAAGGAAUACCGGUGGCGAAGGCGGCCCCCUGGACAGAUACUGACACUCAGAUGCGAAAGCGUGGGGAGCAAACAGGAUUAGAUACCCUGGUAG